UGAUUCACUACUGCCACGUCCAGCCACAUGCAAAGCUAUGGAAACAAAAUUCAAAUAGGGUGAAACUAUACAAAAAAAAACCUGUUUCAGUCCAGACACAGCAGGUGCAAAUAAUCCUGAUGCCUUCAAAUUUAUUUUCCCCUUCAUGACAUGAAGUCAACAACUGUACAAAUAACAGAUCUUCUAUUUCACAUUUAAGACUCUCCAGAUCAGAGAAACUUACAGGACUUUUGGUGGGGUUCGGUGACUUC